rnacentral:rRNA from 1 species
UACGUAGGGUGCAAGUGUUGUCCGGAAUUAUUGGGCGUAAAGAGCUCGUAGGCGGUCUGUCGCGUCGGAUGUGAAAAUCCAGGGCUCAACCCUGGACCUGCAUUCGAUACGGGCAGACUAGAGUUCGGCAGGGGAGACUGGAAUUCCUGGUGUAGCGGUGAAAUGCGCAGAUAUCAGGAGGAACACCGGUGGCGAAGGCGGGUCUCUGGGCCGAUACUGACGCUGAGGAGCGAAAGCGUGGGGAGCGAACAGG